AUAAUAAUAAUAUUAUCUAGUUCGACAGUUUUGGUUGAGAGAGUGGACGAGUAGGACGACGCAACCCAAAGAACUGGAAAUGCUCCUCCCCAAACAAUUCCAUUACUUCCUCUCUUCCUCCUCUAAGCUUCACUUCUUCAAGUCCCCAACCGAUGCUAAUUCUAAUUCCCUCUCGCUCUCCCGUUCUCCAAAUCCCGCAAGACGACGGUUGUUAACAGUGAGAGCAAGUCUCAUCACCAACUCAGACUCCUUCGAGGUCGGACGCCUCAUUGGAAGCUAUGGCUUCAUGAAUAUCACCAGCUAUUCAGGAUUUCAAUCAGGGGAAGACGUUGAAUAUUCUUCUGGAGACUUAGGGCAAUUGAGAGUUCAAGAUGUAGGAGAAGGAAGUGUAAAGAUCAGGCUUUAUGAAGGAAGAGUUUCUCAGGGUUCUCGUAAAGGAACUCCUCUUAUUUUUAAGGUGUAUCCUGGAAAGCGGGCUGGUGGUCUUGAAGCUGAUAUGAUGGCUGCAAAUGAGCUAAAUGCCCAUGCAUUUCUCCAAAGCAGUUCAAAGGACAUCAGCUCGAAUCUUGCCCUACUUAUUGGUGGAUUUGAAACAAAGACUGGGGAGCAGUGGCUAGCCUUCCGUGAUGAUGGAAAAUAUAGCGCUGCAGAUUAUGGAAAAAUAAUGGGUGAAAGGAUUUCCAAAAGGAUAGAAGAAGUCUCAUGGAACCCUUACGAACAAGAACAGGUAAUCAAGCGCAGGAGAAAUUUUGUGAUCAGGAUGUUUCAGGGCAUAAUGAGAGGUCUUGUGUAUAUGCACAACCGCAACAGAUUACACCAAAGUCUUGGACCAUCUUCUGUAGUACUCAAUACAAUUGUUGAGAAAGAUGCUGCUUACUUAAUCCCACGACUUCGAGAUCUAGCUUUUUCUGUGGACGUGAGAUAUCCGUUUCCAGAAGAUAGCCUUGGACAGCUUGCUGAGGGGCUAUGGCGACGAGCAACAGUUGCUGGCGCCUACACUCCAAUGGAGAAAAGAGCUUUUGGAAUAGCAGAUGACAUAUAUGGAGCGGGUCUCCUUUUUGCUUAUUUGGCUUUUGUACCGUUUUGUGAAGCUGGAGUUGUUGAUAGCCUCUCCUUGCAAAGGCUUUUGGAGAGCACUUUUAGACUUGAUCUUGAGGCCAUGAGAGAAUAUUGUUUAGCAGAUGAUCGGUUUGUGGAAGCGGUCAAGUUUCUCGAUCUCAAUGAUCGUGCUGGUUGGCAGUUACUUCAGGCAAUGCUGAAUUCAGAUUUUCGACAACGUCCCCUUGCUGAGGCAGUACUCAGUCAUCGGUUCUUGACGACGACAGUGAUAUAAUUCAGUCACGUUCCAAAUUUGGCUACGCAUGAUUUGUAGAGUGGCAUGUGAACCGCAUCCAAAAUUUUUAUAUGCACAUGUAUAUUCAAAAGGAGAAAGGAAAUACAACCUAGGAGUCGGCGUAGAGGGACCCCUCCAGAAACUACAUCAAAAGAAUCUUACAGAAUUUGGUGUUUAGGGAUGAGCAGGAUAUAUCGAAAAAUCGAGUGAAAUUGGAUGGAAAGCGAAGGGAGUUGGUUUGAGAAAGUUUUAAAUCGAGAAUUUCUAAAGAGUAUUUCUCUGUGUUAAACCGACUCGACUCGACAAAAAUCGACUAACAUUUACUUGACGAUGGUCAAAGUCGGAUUGAAUAUUUACUAAACCGACUAUGGUCAGUUCGAUGGCGGUUUUGUCAAAAAACCGACUUCGAUUGAUGAUUACCCCUACUAUUUAUGAGGUUUGAGAUCUUUUUAUUGUUAUUUUAUAUUUUAUUUUUCAAA